GAAAAUCCACCGACAAAGAAGAACAAAUAGAAAUGUAGAAAUUUGAAUUAAAAUUGAUUUUUGGAGAAUUGGGAGGAGUGUGUGUGUGUUUCCCGCAGGCGUUUCGAGCGGGGAUGGAGGAGUCGGGUCACAAUCUCCCUGCCCCUGCUCUGCUCUUUUAUUUUGUGACUCACUGCUUCAGAUUAUAAAAAUCUCAACAUCAUUACCCUCCUUUUGACCAUGCAAAAUCAAAACUAAACGCGAGUGUAUUAAAAAAUUAAUAUUUAUUAUUAUUAUUAUUAUCUCAUUUAAUAUAUUUUUAACUAGUAUUUUCUCUUAUUUCAUAUUUAUUUUAUUAUUUUAUUUAUGUCAUCUAUCCUAUUUCAUGACUUUGGUAUAUCAUUCUCUAUCUUGAGCCCACGUCUAUCAGAAACAACUUUUCUACUUUUUUGGAGGUAGCGGUAUGGACUGCGUAUAUUUUAUCGUCCCCACACCUCACUUUGUGGGAAUAGACUGAGACUGUUGUUGUAUAACUAAUAUUUGCAUUAGUUAUACAUUCCAUUAUGUAUUGAGGUGUGUAUUACUAAUAUCUUAAAAUCUAUGGUAUUAGGAAUGUAAUGGAUCCAGUACAUGUACUAACAUGACUAAACACUCAAAAAGGUUUUCGCAUCCUUUUCAACAUAUAUAUAGAGGGUAUUUUUGUAAAAAAAAUAGAAAUUAUUUAAUUUAAGUUAUUUUUAAUACAUCAAAACAAACACUGCAUAUGAAAAAUACAAGUAUAACUAAUAUAAGCAUAGUUAACACAAGUAUUAUUAAUACACUAUAUUUUGUAUCUACCAAACGACUAGGGAUCUUUUGCCGUAAGUAUAAGGAAUAAUGAUUAUUUUAUAUCAUAUUUGGUUUGAAAUAUUAGUUAGUAUCAAGAUUAUUUAUUUCAUAUAUAUAAUGAAAUAAUUAAUUUUGAUAUAACUAAUCUUGAGAUUAAUUAUUUUGGAAUAACUCUUCAGCAGCCUCAGCCAAACAACUCAUUGGGAUAGUUUGACGGGAGAGAGAAAGAAGUAGCUAAUUUUGGAAUUAAUUUUAAGAUACGUGUUUCAUAUUUGGAUGGGAUAAAUUUUAUAAAAGAACUUAUUUUGGGAUUAGUUAUCUCUGGAUGAUAAUGUUAUUUGUAUCCUUUUUUUGAGUGUGAGAUGACUAAUUUUGAAAUACUCUCUCCGUUUGUUUUUACUUGUUACUAAUUUUUUAUUGAAUUUCUACUUUUACUUAUCAUUUUUUACUUAUUAAGAAAAAAUGAUUAUUUUUUCUAUUACCCUUACCGUAAUUUUUUUUAUAUAAUUAAUUUCAAAAUACAAUGUAAAAAUAUUUAAUAUGAAUAUUGUGAUAAAAUAUUUAAUUAUUUAUUAUUUUUCUUAAUAAAUAUAUCAAAUCAAGAUAUAACAAGUAAAAGAAAUCAAGUGAUAAUUAAUUUCAAAAUUAGUAAUCGUAAUACUAUAUAUUAUUCCCAAAUUAAAUUAGCCCUUGGACUCUUUUGGGGUUGAGGACCAGACUAAUAAAUGGCCGCGUUUAUCACGUUCAUUGCCGGGGUAGGUAUGGUACUAUGGUGGUAAGAAAGUUCAUUUUCUAAUGCAAAUGGCUAAGUAGAUUAAGGACCUCUACAUUAAUUUAAGCUAAUGUACAAUAUUAAUAAAGUUUACAAUAACAUAUUUAUAAAUAUUUAAUUACCUUUAUAUAUACUCAAUUUAUCGAUAAUGAAUGGAGGUUGGAGGUUGGAGCACUUGGACGCAUUGGAGAUGUGGACAGAGGCGAACCCAAGAUUUAAAAUUUGUGGGUGCAUCAGUGCAAGAUUCAAAAUGUGUUAAGCGCUUGCUUCACUUAAUAUGCAGCUUAGGUUUUAAUUUUUAAUAGGGAUAAUACCCACGAAAAUACAUGAAGUUUGACCGAAUUAUCAAUUCAGCAUUAAACUUCGCGGGAGUCCUAUUACCCCCAAACUUUCUUUUUUCGUAUUUUAAUGACAUAUAUCUGCCACUUGACACAUUGCGUAUUAGUCACACGCAUUGAGCGCGUAACCAAACAACCCCUUGAUUUUAUAAUUAUUUAAAAUUUUAUAAUUUUUAUUUAUUUUUUCAUUCUUCUCUCCUCUCUUCUAUCUUCUUCUUUAUUCUCUCCAACAAUGGAGUACACAAGUUUCAUAAACUGAAAGCAGAUAAGGCAAUAUGUGUCAGUGAUUCCCAUCCCAUAAUCUUAUCCCAGUGAAAACGUAUAACUCACCAUUCCUUCUUCCUUCAUUGGUCCACCCCCAGAUUUCAUUCUUCUAGUUGGUGGUUUCUAUUUCACACUUGUCUUUGAACUCCGCCAAAAAAUAUAUCUGCCAAUUUAAACUCUCUGCAACACAAAUUCUCUCUCAUUUAUUCUUCACAACUUUAAAAAUUAGUAAUAAAUAAUGGUCGUUGCUCCCUUAUUUCUCGAAUCAAACCUCAAAUGGAAUCCUUUACUGUACACUCCAAACCCAAUUCAAUAUACCUGUUUUCUCCAUUACCAAAAGCUUACCCCCUCAGAACUCUCCAAACCCACCAAGCUAACCGUCAAAUGCUUCAUCAAGAACCGUAAAAAUGUGAACUUUAAUGACAAAAAUGGGUCACACAUGAAGGAAAAAAGAAAACCCAUUUGAUAUAAUUGUCAAUUUGGAAUUUGUAACUGACUCAAUAAAAUAAUUUGAAAUUUGAUUUGUAGAAUAAAUUUGAGUUGUGCAAUCUUUAAUACAGUUAUAAUGUUGAAAAAUGAUAAAAUGGAGAAGAUAAAGCGCGUGUACUACACUUCUGACGUUAAAACUGGGUAUAUUUUUUAGGAGGGCAAUUAAUUCCACUUUAAAAAAGUUCGGGGGAAUUAAUUGCACUUAAAAAAGUAUAGGCGGGUAAUAGGACCCCCGCAAAGUUCAAUAUGCUCAACUGACAAUCCAGUCAAACUUCAGGUAUUUUUGUGAGUACUCUCCCUUUUUAAUACAUGUUUUUCCUUGUCAAUGAUGCUUUCUGGAGAGAUAAAAACUAAACAAUUGAUAUUUCACUUUAUUAAAAAAAAUAAAAAAUUAUUCAUAUAUGUAUCAUUCAUGCUUAUAUUAUUAGUCUUGGACUAUUGGCCUAGACAUAUAUUUAUAAUUUUUCUUUCUUUAUGCAUUUUUUCAUUAAAUCUCAUGUUUUAUUUGUACUUUGUGCUUAAACUCAAUAGAUCUUGAAGUUUUUUUACGCCUAUUGCUUUUGAUACUACUGUGGUACACCAAUAUUAUCUUAAGACGUUAGAAAAACUUUCAAUGUUGAUUAAGGGAUAUUAUCAUAUUUAAUUGGUCGUCAAAGAAAUGAACAAUACUGAAAAAAAAAUAUAAAUAACAAAUAUGAGUUCUAAGCUAAUAACUUUACUUUUUCAUAAUAAGAAGUUUACUUUUAACACUUUCAAACAAUUAGUCGUAAUAGCUCAAUGAUCAAGUAGCAUUCAUCUUCUUAGGAGAUGACCGCGGGCAUACAAUUUUUUUCGACAUUAACAGAUGCACAUGUACCCCAAUUAUACACGUGGAUCCGCCUCUGGGGGUGGAGGAAACAUCAAGACGAUGAAUUUGGUAUAUUCAUGAGACUUGUUUUUUUUUUUUUAGCUCAUUUAAAAAGUAAGUUUCUAGAAUUCUUAAACAUUUUAUUUAACUAGCUAAACAUGAAAACUUGGAAAGGAAAAAAAAAUCCCCAUACUAAUUAUAAAGACAUUCAUAAAAUUAAAGAUUGGUUUUAUAUACUUAUAGUAGGAAUUGAAUUUAUUUUAAAUAUGUUUACUUUUUAUAUUUUAAUUCUCCUAAAUAAGUAAUUUUUUUGAUUCAUAUCAUUGGUUGAACCUAAAUCUUAAUAAAGACAUACCACUAUGGUUUAAUCUAUUAGUUAUAGAGAAUAUCUUCUUAAAAAAUUAGUCUUAUAAAGCAUAAAGUAAAAAUAAUUAACACCUCGAUAUCUAGAUAUCGAAUAUCAUGUGAACCAAAUAGAAAAGAAGUAAAGAAAAAAGUAUGAAGGGGAAUCAUGUGAAUAUGAUAUCCUCAUUUGCACCAGUAUAGAUUGUGAUGCAGUUGAUGGGGUUGCUCCACCCUUAAUUAGAGAUUGAGAGUUCGAUCUUGAGUAUGGAGAAAAUUCUGUUGGAAGCGCUGCCACCUUAAUGGAUCCUGCAAUGCGUGAUCUAGAUUAUUCGAUGCUUCAAUACGGACACCAAACACCGGAUAGAAAACAUAAAAAAUGAUAUCCUCAUUUGCUUAUAUCUAAGAAAGUUCACGAAUCUACUUUGUUGCUUGCACAUUCAUUUGCUUUAUAAGACAUCAAAGUGGCUACAAGUACUUUCUUAAUUUUUGAAAUAUACACAGGGAUUGUUAGUCUCAAAGUAAAACAUCAUAUCAAACAUAGAAUAGAAUAAUCUCAUAAUUUAUUUAAAGAUUAUAAUCUCUUAGCCCAUCAAUCAAACGAUCCGUAAUUAACCGUUGUAAAUUAGCUAUUUUUCAUAUAAAGUGAAACCUCCCCAUAUUGAUCUCUUGAACUAUUUAUGAUGCAUUUUUGGUUGUUGAAAUUGUCUCAAGCUAGUUAUGAGAGCUAGAUUUAUGCGGCUACUGUUUGUCUUAUUUGUUGUUUUUAUAAGAAUGAAUGUUUGACAUCAUAACAUAGUUUUAAUUAAACAGACCUCAAACGGUGAUCAUAUUAUUCACAUUAAAAAAAAAUAUCUUUCUGCACGUUACCUCGUAGGUAAUUAGAUUAUUCGAUAGCUAUGUUAUAUAUGAAACUAUUUUAAAUCUUAGUAUGUCACUUUGCAUGUAGACAAGCUUUUGGCCAAAAAAGGUAUUAAAACAACAACAAUAACAUACUCAGUGUAUUCCCACCUAGUGGGGUCUGGGGAGGGAAGAGGUUAAAAAAUUCAUUAAUAUUAAAUGUUAAUUAAAGAAAGAAGAAUGGCAUUAGCAUAAAAGCGCAUCUGGUGUAGUGGUAUCAUAGUACCCUCCCACGGUACUGACCGGGGUUCGAUUCCCCGGAUGCGCAUGCUCUCUUCCCUUCGUCACACAUCUUUUGUUUUUUCGUCGAGAAAUUAUUUUUUGUUUUUUCGUCGAAAAAUAUUUUUCUUAAUCAUACCAACUUUCCUGGGUUUGAUUUCCUGAAUGCAAAGCUUUUUAGCUAUAAAUUUUUUGUUUUUUUGUUGGAAAGUAUUUACCCAAGGAUGUAGCCUCGCACCUCCUCUCUGCUACAAUCUUUUGUUUUUUCGUCGGAAAAUAUAACUAAGUCGAAUUCUUUUUUUAGGUUUUUUUGUCAAAAAAUAUUUUUCUUAAUCAUAUCAACUUUCUUGGGUUUGAUUUCCUUGAUGCACAACUCUUUAGCUAUAAAUCUUUUGUUUUUUUUGUUGAAAAAUAUUUAUCGUGUAGCCUAGUGGUUCAAUGAAAUUUGAUUGAGCACCAUGAGGUCUUAAUUCAAUUCACAAUAGAGACAAAUAUUAGGUGGUUUCUUCCCAUCGAUUCUAACCUUGAUAGAUAAAAUUAUCUAGUAACUGUUAUCUUUUGCAACAAGUUAGGAUAAGACUCAUACAUAUCAUCUUCUUCACAAGUUAGGAUAAGGCUUGCAUACAUAUUAUCUCCUUCAGACAGGGGCAAACCGACGUACGUUCAAGUAACGUUCAUAUGAAAUCACUUCAUCGAAAAAUUACACUAUAUAUAUGCCUAUAUUUAAGUAGUUUUAACAGAUUUAAAAGGUAUAUAUUAUAUAUUGAACUCACUAUAAAUAAGAGGAGGCCUUAGCCUAGUGGUAGCGGGUUCAAACCUUAGUACAUAUGUCCUGCGUUCGGACCUCUCUAUAGGGAUGCUUUUUUAGAAUUAUUUAUCCAGCAGUCAGUUUUAGCAAUUUUAAACACACUUGUAAAAAAUCUGAGUCCGUCACUACCUUCAGAAAGAAACAUUUAUGAAAUCUCACAAAAGAGAAUUGUAUCAAAAAAACAAAAGGUCACUCCAAACAUGAUUGCCUCUUUACCUCAAGUCAAGAUCUUUGAAAAUAACAUUUCUACAUGUUACUCCAAACAACUCUUUUCACAAAGAUUACACUAUAAUUGUUAGCUUUUGAAAUGAGUUCUUCAAUUUUAACAAACUAUUUCAAAUCAAAAACAGUUUUUCAAGUAGUUUUUUUGGCCCUCACAAGUCUUUGAUAUUCUUUUUUAAAAAAUAAAAGGCUUUAAGUCAUUGACUUCCUAUUAAAAUUAUUUCGAAAUUUUACUUAAACUCCUCAAUUCAGACGUGUAUCUAUUGCACACAUAUACCCCUCUAAAUUUGUACCACUUAAAUAUUUUUUUGACAAUGAGCUAAAAAUAUAAAAUGAGUGCGUUAUACCCGCGAUGACGUAGCAACUUGACGAAUUAAAUUGCGACAUAUGUCAAGUGAGUUAAAAAAAAGGUCAAAGUCAUCGACAGACACUCAAAUUUGUUGCGAAAAUUCACUUAGACCACUAAACUAAGGCCUGUUCCUAUCAGACCCCUAAACCCCCCGAAUUUUGUUCCAAUUGGGCAUUUUUUUCCCUAUCAGCAAAAAGAUCAAAAUGUGUGUUGCACACAUGCGACGACGUGGCAAAACAAGCUAAUUGGAAGCUGACACGUGGUAUUGUAGGUCCAAUAAUUAUUAAAAAUUAAUUAUAUAUAUAUUUUUAAAAAGUAUAUAAAAAUGGCAUUGAGGAAAUUAUUAAAAAAAAAAAUUAAUUGUUAAAAAAAUUAUAAUUUUUUUUAAAAAAAUGAAAAUAAAAAAUGGCAUUGAGCAUAUAAAUUAUGAAAAAAAUUAUAAAUUAUUUAAAAAAUAAAGAUAAGAAAUAGAUUAUUUUUAAAAAAAUUAUAAAAGUUUUUUAAAAAUGAAUAAAUUAUUAAAAAAUAAAAAAUUAAUUAUUAAAAAAACUUAUAAAACUUUUAAAAAAUUAUUACUUGAAAUUGUUGUUUUUUCUAUUUUCCUAUUUAAUUAUCUAUUUAACAAUAAUUUAUUGAUUAAAAAAAGAAAAAAAAAAAACACCCCUCACCUCACCCGUCGUCAUCUUGACACCCCCCUCCCCCAGCGUAUACACGAGAGCAACAACACAGUAGACAUUUUUCAGUGAGACUCGCCGGAAAAUUAACUCCAAAAUUCUACCAUUCUAAUUUAUUCUAUUACAUGAACCCAUAAAUGAUUUUCCUAAUUUUAUGCUUCAAAAUGGAGAAAAGGCUUCUAAUACAUCUACACAAGGCUUUUCUUCAUUUUUUCUGACGAUCAGAUUAAGAUAAGAAACCACAUCUACUUCACGCAUUUUAUCAAACGCCUUACGUGCACAUCCCAAACGGUCACAAUUCACAUACAUAUGCAUCAACAGAGCUUCAACAAACAGAUCCAACCCAACGCAGUUGUUAAACCAUACCCAGGGAAUAGUAUCAUUUAAUAUCAUUUUAUAUUUUUAUCAUUCACCAGCGUUUUUGAAUGACCCUUUUGGUGAAUUAGAGUUUUUGAUUAUGAAUUUUAUCGAGACUUUUGUGAUUUUGGAUCGAUUUGGGUUGUUUAUCAUUUCGCGGAUUUAGUUGAGUCAGCGUUUUGGGUGGUGAAUGGAUUCAAGAUUUGUGUGAAUUUUUGAGUUUUUUUUUUUUGAUGGAUUAUUUUUUUUUUUUGAUGACCAGUAGAAUUACGUUUAAAGAAGAAAAAAAAAAGAAUGAGGAAGAAGAUGAAGGUCAGAAUUGGGAAAUAUGUUGGAGGCUUUUUUAUUAGAAUUUUGUUUUAUUAAUUUUUUUGGGGGGUCAGUGCUUUUAUUUUAUUAAAAAGAAUUUGUAAUUGGUUUAUUAAUAUUCAAAUCAAAGAAUUAGUAAAGAAAAUCUUAUUUUUGUUUUAUUAAAAAAAAUUUUGGGGCCUUCAAUGCCACUUGGCAUUUUUUUAUUUGGAAUUCACUAAAAAGAAAUACUAUUUACGUGCUUCCUCUGUUUACACUGCACGCGCAGUGCCAUGUAGGUAAAAAAUGUCUAAUUGAAACAAAAUUCGAGGGGUUUAAGGGUCUGAUAGGAACAAGCCUUAGUUUAGGUGUUUAAGUGGAUUUUGACAACAAGUUUGAGUGCCUAUCGAUGACUUUGACCUAAAAAAAACUAUUUUAAAUUAUUAUACAUAACAAAUUAGUAAAAUUAAUUGCGAAGCAAAGCAUGUAAUUUAGCGAAGUGGUUCUUGAGACGUUUGUGGAAAAUAACCCGACGUUGAUGAGUUAAUUCAAAAUUAGUGGAGAAGAGAACUUGAGUGGAUUCAGUUAAUUCUAUCGAAUUUUCUGAUGAUCUUUAACAUAAAAUUAGUGAGUUGGCAUUUUAAUUUAACGAUGAUGUUUGCUCGGAGAUGUCCGGAAAAUAAAUGGACGAACGUGGAUCAACUAUUUUAACUCCAAUAUCCAGAAAUCUUCUCUUUUUCUUUCUUAUUUAGUUAUUAAUUAUAGUAGCUUUAUAAAUGUUAGUCUUUUAAAUAGAUUGAACAAAAAUAAAAUAGCAAAGAUUAAAAAAAAUAAAAAAAUACAGGACAAAAAGAAGUGCACAGAGUGGGUGUAGAAGACAAAGCUUGGUGGAGUUUGCUUUUUUAAUUAAAAAACCAAUAAUUAAUACACCUUUCAAGGAAAGAAAAAAGUAGCAGUUUUUUAAUAUAUAUACUCCCUCCAUUUAAAUUUUUUUAAUUUAAUUUCACAUUUUACUUAUCUUUUUUCAUUUAUCAAGAAGAGAGAUUUUUUUUUUUUUUACACAUUUUAUCCUUUUACAUUAAUUAAAUUUUUUUCAAUUUAAAAUAUAAAUAUUAUUUAAUAAGGAUAUUAUAAUAAAUUAGGUAUGUUAUUAAUUAUUUUUCUUAAUCAGCGUACCAUCUCAAUUUGAGAUGGAUAAAUUUGGGACGAAGAAAAUAAGUAUAUAGGUUUGAAUUCAUUCACGCAUUCACAAAAAAUGUAUAUCAUGCCAUGUGUCACAUAUAACGAAAGGGCUUAAAUGGAUCAAAAUUUGGGUGAAUUAAGAAUACCCUUAGAGCUUAUCAGUUGUUUGCCAAAUUCAGUAAAUACAACUUUUACCUAAGAUUAGUAGAUUUUCUUGUUUACAUUAUUUCCGAUGAUUGCACUAGAGUUAGUAGAACUUCAGUUAUAGAAAUUAUCAUGAAAAUUUCAGUUUACAGUGUUAAAAUUUUAGAAGUGUAUUGUGAAAUGGAUAAAGCUAGGAUCGAAUCCCACACAGGCCAGGUAAAUUUAGCAUUAAAUUGAAAAGAUGAAAACUUUUAGGAUGAGAAUGGAAAGUUGUGUACUUUGGUACAUGUAUUGAAUGUUGGGAAGCAAACAAUCCCACAUCGGAGAAAUAAAGUAAACAUAUCCUAUAUUUAAAGUGUCAUUCAACUCUACUAGCAUGAGACCUUUUGGGAGGUGUCCAAAAAUAAAUCCGUAAGGGCUUGGCUCAAAGCGGACAAUAUCAUACUAGUGCCGAGUUUGAUUGAGGUUGCAUGCGAUCCUGACAAGUGGUAUCUCAAAGCCAAGGUUCGGAUUGUUCGGAAGCAAACAAUCUCACAUCAAAAAAAUAAAGAAAACAUAUCCAAUAUUUAAAGUGUCAAGUGAAAUUUUGAGAUUACUUUAAUGAGCGAUGGAUAACUUAAGCCACAAAUUCAAAUACUCCAAUUUUAACAUUAAACAGGAUUUUUUUAAAAAAAAGUUUCAAAAUAUUCUCUUGAAACACUAAACCAAUAACAAAAGCACCAUGCCAUUUCCAUCCAAGUGUACGAAGUAACAUUUGCCAUUUGCCAUCUGUCAUUACCCAAUUUGGGGUCACACGUGACAACCACGUGCUUCCCAUCAUUUCAAAAACUGUAAAGCAUUUAUUACUACUUUACACGCACGCGCACACACAGUAACACACAGAACGUCGGGAUUGUCGUGCUCAGUACUCUACCGAUGACCCAAUUUUGCCGGUGACGGAGGUUACCGGUUACCGUACGCCGGCGGUUACAUUACUAUUUUGUGACCAAAUGGCAACUAUAAUCUCUAGUGAGCUAUUUUUAUCCUCGCAUAUAUCUAAUAUAUUCGCCUUUUUAUUUUAUUAUCUUUUUUUUUUUGCGUGUAAAGUGAAUAAUUUAACUAUUUUUCUAUAGUUUUCAAUUGACACUUACUUUUUUUGGUAUUGGUGCGUCUUUGUAUAUAUACGUUUUUUAGUAGUAUUAGCAAUACUCUCAUAGUCUCUUGUUCGUAGAGGUCUAGUAGGUAGGAGUGCGUUCGUAAUAGUAGGAAAGAAAGAUAUGACCCUUGAUAGGAAGGUGUGGAGGAGUACGUUCGUAAUAACAAGUUUGUAGGAGUACUGCUAGCAGGUAGGAGUACGGUCGUAAUAGUAGAAAAGAGUGCUCUGUUUGUAUUGGUGCUUGUAGUGUGUUGUAGUCUCUUGUUCAUGGUGUUUUGGUGAUGUUUAUGAUUUUGUAUAGCAAGUUUAUUAUAGUACUUCGUGGUUGUCUUGUUUUCUUUACUAUCUAGCGGUGUGUCGCCCCUUGUUUGUUAUUUGCUUUUAUGUUUUUGUUAUACUCUCUCUCUCUAAAAAAAAGACCUACUUUAUUUUUUAGUCCGUUUAAAAAAGAAUGACCUUUUUCCCUUUUUGGUAAUACUUUAAUUUCAAUUUUUCACAUGACAUAUUUAGGACCACAAGAUUAAAGGACAUUUUGGUAUAUUUGACACAACUUUAAUUUAAGGCAACAAGAUUCAAAAAUCUUCUUUAUUUUCUUAAACUUUGUGUCAAGUCAAAGCAUGUCAUUUUUUUUAAACGGACAGAGUAUUUGUUAUCUUUCCUAAGCUGGGGUCUAUCGGAAACAACCUUUCUAUUGACUCCUUAAACUCUGCCCUCCCCAAACCCCACGGGAAUAUACUGGGUAUGUUAUUUUUGUAUUAGCAAUAGUCUCAUAGUUUCUUGUUCUUCUCUUUUCCAUUCACUUUUACUUGUCCAGUAUUGAUUUGACACACUUUUUAAGAAACAAUAAAUAGAAUGACAACUUUAUUAUAUCCAUCUUUGCAAUAUACAACAAUACUUGUCCACUAUACUAAAAUUAAAUGUUCAACAAUACUUGUUCAGUUUGAAAAGAUGGAUAAUUUAUCCAUUUCUAUCAUUUUACAUUAUAUUUUUCAAAGCAUUGAAUUAAUUAUAUUUGAAGGAUAAUAUGGUAAAAUUACUCUUAUUAAUUAUUGAUUCUUAACUAUGUGUGCCAAGUCAAUAGUGAACAAGUAUUUUUGGAUAGAGGGAGUAGGAAAUUCAAUGCUUGGAGAGUUCAAGCAAACAAACCUUUUGCAGAGAUGUAAGGUGAGACUGCGUACAAUAGACCAUUAUGGUCAGGUCCUUUUCGUACCUCGCACAUAGCAGGAGCUUUAGUAUAUCGGACUGCCCUUUAAUGCUUUGAGAAAUGACUAUAGUUAAUAAUAAGGGCAUAUUAGGAACUAAGUGAUAAAUUCCCUCUUGAUUUUUUUUAAAUUGGGUAAGUAAAAAUGGACAUCUAUUUUUAGUAUAAUGAACUAGUAAAAGUGGAGGGAGGGAGUAUUUGUUUCUUGUGCUUCGGUUAUCAUGUUAGUUUGUUGUUGUUCCUUUUUUUUUUCUUUGAAUGCUAUGUAAUGUUUCCCUUGUCGAGUCGAGGAUCUAUCAGAAAUAGUCUCUCUACCUCCAAAGUAGGGAUAAAUUUUGUGUGAACUCUACCUUCCCUAGACCCCGCUUGUGGGGUUACACUGGGAAUAUUGUUGUUGUUAUAUGUAAUGUUUUUUCUAUUAUUUGUUAUGUCUUCUUUUCUUUAGUAUUUUCCUUUUCAAAACACUUUGUUAGUUUGUUAUGUGCUACUUGAGGUGAGGUUUUAUCUAAAACAACCUUUCUACCUCCACCUCCGCGAGGUAUAGAUAAGGUCAACAUAUGCUCUAUCCACCCUAGAUCCCAUAUGUGGGAUUACAUUGGGUAUGUUGUUGUUGGUAUACAUUUGAGCUUUUGUUGGCAAAGUUUCCAAGACAUUGGGCUUAGUUUGCUGUGUUGUGCAGUCGAAUCACAUAUUAAUGAUUCCCAAAAUUUUUGAUGAUCUACAUGGAAAAGUCUCUACUCCUUGAUUAGAAAUGGAUAUUUGGCCUAACUCCAAAAAGCUAGCUCACGAUGUGGGGAUUGUUCGAGAUAAAAAUAAUCCAUUCUCUCAACUAAUGUGGAUUGACUAUAACACCACUUCAUACUCAAGUGCAGGCAUGUGGAUAACCUAACAUAGGAGGCCAACAUUAGGUAAACCAAGAAUAGUAAUGGGUAUGGCUUUGGUAUCAUGUAAAGAGAAUCGACCUUAGGUCUAACUCCACCCUAAAAGUUAGUUCACAAAGAGACACCAAUCCAUUUCAUGAACCAAUGUGGGGCUCUAGUAAAGCUCUUAAUGGUAAAUACUAGCAGGUACAAGUUGCAUAACUUGCGUAGAAACCAAUUGAUGUCGUUAAGGCAUGAACUUUCAGGAAAGCUUUAAAAGAUGUAAAACGUGGAUAUAACAUGAAAAGAGUAAAUGAGCUAAUAUAAACUGCAUUGAAUUGAAUUGACAAGGAUAACAAGAAUUGUGGAUGUGUUGUGUAAAACGUGGAUAUAACAUGAAAAGAGUAAAUGAGCUAAUAUAAACUGCAUUGAGUUGAAUUGACAAGGAAGGAUAACAAGAAUUGUGGAUGUGUUGUGUUGGAUGCAUAAUUACCUACUAUAAAAAGUUGUUAAUCAUUUUAUGUAUUAUUGAUCUAGAAAUGGAAAUUAAGCUACUCUAACUAUUUCUUUUCAUAUUCUUUUAGACUUGCUCCUUAAGUUUUGUAUGAGUGGAUCGUGCCCAAAUAUUAUGGGGAUAGUUGAUGGUCUCAGCAGGGAAGUUAGUUACUAACUAGAUCCUUGGCCUGUGAAUGUCUUUGGACUUGGUCAAAUACAACAAUUUUUUCCAUGGUAACUUGGACCUUGAUUGCUUCUAAGACAUAACUCCUUGGGUUUAGUUAGCUCAAGGUAUGAUCAUAUUCACGGUAAUCUAAUUGGAUCAGACCCAUUUUAAGCUUAACCUGUCAUUGCGAAGACUCAAAAUUAUUAUCCAGUUGAUAGGCUGGCAUAAGGUGUGGAGGUUUUGUUUUCAACUCAGUUGGGCUGGCGUUUCUCUUAUUGUUUGGUCUGACUUGGCCCUCAGCUCAGCUAAACUGGUGUUUGUCUCAGCUGACGUCUUGAUACGAUUGAACUACUGCUUAGUUUGGCCGAACAAUGACCUAGUGGAUUUAUUUUAAUGUCGAUAUUAUCGCGUAUCAACCAUAUUGUUUCCUUCUUCUGUUGGGGAAGAGAGUCACUUACACUUGAAGGGCAUGAUUCAUAAGUGAACUUCUAAUGCGAUAGGCUGGUAAUGGAUUCGUCUUGCUUCUAGGAUUUGGAUAUUUUUAUGAAGUUGUAAAUACUUUGAUUAUCGCGCUAAGUAAUUCAUUGAUGAUGUUAGAGACCCAAGUUUUCUUAGUUUGGUUUCCAUAUUUUCAACUUACAAGAAUCCCAUGCUUCAAUUUGCAUAGGUGUUUGCCCAUUUCUACUUCUUUUUUACCAAGUUCAACCUACUAACUUCUUUUUUCCUGCCCAGGGAGUAGGUGGGACACAAUUAAGAACUUCAGACAGCAGAAUGCUUUGGAAGUGCAUAACACUGGAGGCGGAGAAGAUAAAAUCAGCAAUUUACCUGAUUCCAUUCUUCUUCACAUUCUUUCAUAUCUUCCUACCAGAGAUGUUGUGGGCACAUGUAUACUAUCAACACGGUGGAAGACUCUUUGGAUUUGUGUUGACUCCAUCGACUUUGAUGACUCAUAUCUCUACUCAAGUGCGGUUUUUGGUUAUCCGAUGAAGGUCACUUGUUUCAUGGACUUUGUUCACAGAGUUCUUCAACUUCGAGAAGAAUCAAAUUUAAAAAAGUUUCGCCUUUCCUGCCGUGUUUGCUUCAGUGCCUUGCAUGUUAGUUCAUGGCUUUCAGCUGUUAUUAGGCAUAAUAUUCAAGAUCUUGAUCUCUGUCUUUUUGUAGAAGAACCUUUUAUGUUGCCUCAAUGUGUUUUCAGUAGCAAGACACUUACUUCUCUAAAACUUGAAAUGAAUUGUGUUCUGGAACUACCUACUAGUACUUUUUUCCCUUUCCUUAAAAUCUUGCACUUAUGUCUUGUCACAUUUCGGGAUGAUAGCUCAACCCAGAGGCUGUUUUCUAGCUGCCCUAUGCUUAGUGAGUUGGCUAUAUUAGACUGUGAAUGGAUGAACUUGAAGCAAGUUGCAAUUUCAAUCUCUUCAUUAAAGAUUUUGAUAAUUGAUGAUUUGCCUUUCUUUGGCUCCACUGAUGAUCUAAAUGGCUGCGAAAUCGAGAUUGAUGCAUCAAAUCUUAGUUUCCUUAAGUACAGUGGUUAUCUCUCAAAUGAGAUAUGUUUGUAUAACCUAUCCCCCUCAGUCAAUGCAUCAAUUCACAUCCCCAUUCUCUAUGAGAAGCGAAAUCAAAUAGCUUUUCGUGCUGUUAAGCUCUUUAGAGGGCUACACAAGAUUAGCGCUGCGAAAAUAUCUAGCAGAGCUAUUGAGGUAAUUACUGACAAGAUGGAAAUUAGUUAGUUACACAACAUCACAGUCUAGAAUGUUGAAUGUCUAAAUAUGCUGUACUAAUGACUUUUCUUUUUUCCUUUUCUGUGAUCCCUCUUGUUUCUUGGCAAAGUCUCUCUUCAUCGAAGAUAUAGAGAAAGACCGACUUCCAAUAUUUUGUAACUUGACGCACUUGGAGUUGAGUAUGGAACUUGAAAAGCAUACCAUUGGACCCUUGAAGGAACUGCUCCAAUGUCUGCCAAAGUUGCAAUCACUUCAUUUUUCUGAGGUAGAUACCUUUGGCAUUGUGUGGGCGUGUUUAUAAAUUCUUUUCAGGUCACAUGAGUUCUUUUCUAUUUUUCAUUUUUCUUUCCAUUCAGGGACUUGACCCCUGCAUGCACCUUUGUGAAGAUGACUGGAACUUGAGAUUUGUGCCACCCUGUUUCUUGUCUAGUCUCAAGACACUGAAAUACAGCAAUUUUCAUGGCAAUGUUUCAGAAAUUUCUUUUUUAAGAAAUUUGCUGGAAAUUGCAAAAGUUUUGGAGAAGCUGAACAUAGUGUGUUCAAAGAGACCUUUUGGGGAUCCAAAGAAGCAAAAGGAAAUUAAAGAUCAACUGCAGGGUCGGAACGGAGGAUCAGCGUCUUGUGCUAUCAAGUUUAUGUAAAACCUAAUAGAGCUUUUACACGUGAGUUCCUUUUCCAUCAAGAAGCUUGUUUGUUUUCCUUGUCUUUUUUCUUUCUAUGGAGAACUGUCGCAUCUGUUGUUUUUCCUUCUGCUUUGGUUCAUAAUUCAAUUAACUAGCUAAGUGUCUUAAUCGGACUGCUCGAUACAGUAACGAGUUUUAAAAAAGCAUGCUGAAUGCUUAACUUCCCGUCUGUGUCAGAAGGUCAGUUUUCCGCGAAUUAGAUAUGAGUUACUUUCAAGUGGCAAGGAGCCUAGUUAUAAGUUGGAAAUGCAAAAAGAGGAAGGUAAUCCAAAUUUCAGAAUAACAUAGAAGUACAUUUAUCCAGGAAUUAAUUUUAGCUUAGUUGCUAGUGCUUGAAAUCACAUAUUACACAUAUGUUGUCCUAUUAAUCUACAUUUCAAAGUUCAUUUGUAAUACUUGUUUUAGCUGCUAUACAGGUGGAAAUAUAGUCUCUCAUUUAUUCGUAGUGUUGUGUAUCUAUGGUCCACCAAAUGGAAAUUUGCCUCUUUAUAUGUUAUAAAAAGAUUUGCAUGUGCUCGCACCAAAAGCUCACCGUGUUAAUAAAGCUAAGGUUUGACUGAACAAUUAUAUUCAGACCCAAUUUUGUUCCAUCUUUCAGCUACUUAACUGAACUUCUGCACAUGAGAUGAUGUGUUAAAUUAUAGCAUCAUUAUAAAUAGGUCAACGGGAGUGGAUAAUCUCUUGUUGAAUAUCCGUUUUCUCUGUUUAGGAGGUAGGAUUCACAUUCACAGAGUUUCUUAUUUUGAUAGGCGGUGUUGCUAAGAAAUUCAUGAACUAGAACCUCUUUGGACUUUAAUGACUUGAAACAUCUUAGAAUUUCUUCUUUCCUCAAGGAUUUAAAGGCAAUAGUAGUUGCAAAAUGCAUCAUUAAUGCUUGCAUCAAAAGCUCACCAUGUUAAUAGAGUUAAGGUUUGACGGGACAAUUAUAUCCAGACCUGCUUGUUCUAUCUUUUGCAAUUUGAUUGAAAUUCUGCACGUGAGAUUAUGUGUGGCUUUACCAUUAUAAAUUGAUAAAUGGGAAUGGGAAUCACUUUGCAAAAUCUAGUUUCUCUAGUUAGGAUGUACAUUCACCGAAUUUCUUAUUCUAUAGAGCAGUGUCCCCACGAAAUUAUUGAACUAGAACCUCUUUGGACUUUUACGAUUGGAAACAUCACUAAGAGUUGAAAGCAAGAGUGACUGCAAUAUGCAAAUCUACUUUUGGGGCCUGUCAAUUUGAUUUUUCUCGUCUUUUAGCUAGCUUAACUAUAUAUAUUAUUUAAAUUGGACUUUGAAGAAUUUGAAGGAGAGCCUUGGAGUAACCGGUAAAGUUGCUUCCAUGUGACCAUUUCUGGUCACGGGUUUAAGUUUUGGAAACAACCUCUGGCAGAAAUGCAAGGUAAGAUUGUGUACAAUACACCCUUGUGGUGGGGCCCUUUCCCGAACCUUGCACCAUAGCGGGAGCUUUAGUGCACCGGGCUGCCCUUUUUCUGGACUUUGAAAAAUUUCGUGUUGCACUUACAUUUCUUGAUGCAGCAACUUACCUAUUUCGAUAUCAAAUUCCUGCUUUUGUGCUGCAAGAUUAGAGUGGUUCCCUUUUUCAUCUUUCAUAUGUGUCAAAACGUAUUCUGCUCGCUUAAAAAUGAAAUCAGUUGACUAUUGGAUACGCUAUCAGACACUUGGUAGUGCUGCAAUAUUGCAUUUACAAGCCAUUGACUGUUGCUAAUUGAUCUUCUUAUUGUAUGUAUAUGAUGUGAUGCAGUGUCCCCAACAAGCAUUAGAUGUGGAUUACUUGCUUCGAGUUUUUGGUUUCUUUUGACAAGUGCAACACCAUGCUGUGGAAACACUUGUGUACUUCAUGGAUCGGUUGUUUUUGGUAAUGACUUCUGCAGAUUCUUGUAAAUCAGUUGGAACUUGUUUUUGUAUUUUGGUCACUAAAGUCUUUCUGAAGUAGUGGAAUCUGCCUGUAGUGAAACAGGUGCACACUUGUUUUGGAAUCUUUGCUCCUUUUUGUCUUUUAUUUUUUGGGAGAUAGGCAUAGAUGCUUUGAAGAUGAUUUUGUGAUUAUUUUUAAUUCAACAAGGAUGGGUGAAAAUAUUGUAUAAAUGUUUGGGUUUUUUUGGGAAAGAAAGUUGUGCAUGCAUUGAUCAAGUUCCUAUGUCUGCUAAUUUUAAUAUGUUUUAUAUUUCAAACUUUUAUGCAUUAUGUUUCUUCUCAGAGGGUUUGAGUUUUAUUGGUCUUAUUUGUCAUUACUUGUCAGCAGUAUGGCAUGUCUUCUCUUUGUACAUCGAUAACCAUCUUUCUGCUAAUCUAGCCUCCUUUUCUAUCCCUCGAGAUCAACAGAUCGACAAAGGAUAGUGUAAGAAUAUUCACCUAUCGUUCAUCAGUUAUACCUUUUGACCUGAUCAUAGAACCUUGGACAAAUAUUGUUAUAUUUGUUCAAGUUGUUAAGAAUUUUUUUAUUCAUUUGGAUAAAUAAUCGAGCGUUGUCAUAUAAUUCCCUGUAUGAACUCUUAAAACUUUUACCAAUAUACACUGACAACGUGAAACUCUUUUACACUACCAAUACAUUACUUGAAUUAUCUUGUAGGAUACUAAUUUCACUUAUCAUGAAAAAUUAUCUAUAAUUAUCUUUUAGAUGACGUGUACGAUUUUCUUUUUGUGAGGGAAUGAAGAAAAAGCAUAAAGAAAAGUUAAAAAGAAUAAUUGCUCAAAAAAGCAAAUUUUCCUUUUUUUCAUCUUUGACUUAUAAAUGUUGUGGAGGGGCUGUAUAAAAAUGCCUUUUUAUUCCAAUAAAAAGCCACUUAUAAUAUAUAGUCUUCUUCUUGUCUCCAUAGAGAAAAAAAAAAAUACCAGACAAGGGGCAGAGAACAGCUGCAAAAAAUUCUCUUAUUAAAUGACACAGCAUUUAACAUAAUCCAACUUUUAGAGAACUUAUUUCCAUUUCUUUAAUAAUGGAUGGGUCAAACUUUGGCAUUGAUAUUGUAAUAAACUAAUGUUUCUUUAUGUCCUUAUAUCAUACAGCAAUAACAAUGCACUGAAUCCAGCACUGUUAUUGUUUAUUAUGAUCAUUAUAAUGAGAUCAUUUCUCAUUGAUACAUCAGACUAAUUUAUACUCCCCCGUCCCAAAUUGAGAUGACACAGGUAUUAAGAAAUGAUUGAUAAUAUAAUUUUACCAUUUUGCCCCUCUUAAUUGUGUCUUGUUGUUAGUUCCAAUAUUGAUGGAUGACUGGCUAAUACCAAAGCACCAUUUAUACUCCCUCCGUUUCAUUUUACUCGUCUCAAAUUGGGAUGACACAAUUAUUAAGAAAAAUAACAAAUAAUAUGGUUAGUUUACCAUACUACUUCUAUUAAAUGAUGUUUAUAUUUUAAUUUAAAGAAAAGUAAUUAGUGCAAAGGGUAAAAUAUGUAAUAAAAAAAUUUGUCUUGUCUUGAUAAGUAAAAAAUGACAAGUAAAAUGGGACACCAAAUUAGAAAAUUUAGGACGGGUAAAAUGGGACGGAGGGAGUAAUAAGGAGUAAUUAAUUACAGUAAUGGUAUAAUGGAAAAAAAAAUUGUCUUGUCUUAAAAAUUAAAAAAGGACAAGUAAAAUAGGAUAAUAAAUUAGAAAAUUUGGGACGAGUAAAAUGGAACGGAGGGAGUAAUAAUAUGUAAUGAUGCAAUCUCCAUAACUAAAUUUACUUAACAAAAAACAUGGUGUGCCCCUUAACUUGUGGGUAAGCUUUGACAGUGAGGAGUUGUCUUUGUGAAAGGCCCACUUAUUGCUCUACUAAUAUAAAUUUCAAGGACUAUUCUAAUAUAACUAAACAUAAUUAUGCUAUUUGUAUUUUACUUUUUUUUUUCAAAAUGAGGUAUUAACUUAUGACAAUCAUAUAUUAAAAUAAUCAAUACACAAAUACCUUAUAAAUAAUUAUUGGGGUUGUUUAAGGUAUUGACUUUUCCGUACACAUUAAACUUUUUUCUUUUUCUUUUUUUUUUUUUCAAAAAAAUAGUUCUAAGAUUUUUAUAUCUUGUUAGAAGUCAAUACCAAUAUACCAUGUUAGGUGAUCCAUUAUUUAUUACAAAAAAAUUUCAUUCUCUUCUCUCUUUUUGGUAUGCUUUGUGACAAAAGAGAAAAAGAAAAUGUCAUGUAAACUUAUUUGAGAAAAUAUCUCUAUUUGCUUGUCGGCUUUCACGUAACUUGACUAAUUUCAUGAACAUCGUCACUCCUUGCAGUUGAGAUUUGAAUCUAGAGGCUGCUGAGACUUCAUGUUCUCGACUCACUUCAUUGGCCAUUAGGCUACACCCUUAGAUACUUGUAGUAUUCCUCUUCAAAAUAUAUCGAAAAUUUAAUUGAUUUUAAUCUCAUCCUAUUGCUUCUUUAGUCUGAUAAUCAAAAAAUUAAAAUUCAAAAAUUUCAAAUUUGCAUAUUUAAAGUAGAUUUUAAAAUAGUUAUUUUUUAAAAAUCCUUCAAACAUAUGUCGUAGAAUAGUUAAUUAUGCUAUUUGCUCUGAAUAACAACUUACUCAUAUUUUUUCUAGUUUAAUCAUAUUUUAAAAUUACUAGUCUCUAUGUACGUAGAGGCGGAGCCAGAAUUUCAACGAAGGAGAUUUCAUAUUCAAAGAAAACUUAGGAUUUCAACUAAGGAAGUUUCAUAUUCAAAGAAAAUUUAGUCGAAGGAGGGUUCAACACCUACUAUAACCACAUAAAAAAUAAUUUUAAUCAUAUAGAAAUAAUAUAUUUUUCUAUCGAAAGAAAUUCGGUCGAACUCUCGAAUAAAAGGCUGGCUCCGCCCCCUGUAAAUACGUACGUCGAUUCAAAUUCUUUACUAGAUAGAUCACUAAAGUGUUAAAAAUUGCUCCCUAUGGAAAAACAAAAUCCAUGUUGGAGCUUAAAGAAGUAGUCCAUUUAAUUGAUUAAAAUACAAAGGGUCACAAUCAUGUUAUGUUAAAUUUUGGUAUUAUAAACUUUCAUAAAAUAAAUUGACGGUCAAUACCCUACCACCUAUUAUUAUAUCAAUCAAUUUUUUUGGAUGGCACCAACCACCAUUUCCUACUUAUUUCACAUCAAAUUUCAAACAAUAACAAUAACAGACGCAAAUCACCCUUUUAUCAGAGAAAAUUUUAUUGGGAACGCUAUUCUUAAAAUGAAUUUUGCAACGUGUGAUUUAAAUUAGUUGGGGUUUCAAUACAAAUAUCAAAUACUAAGUGGAAAAUCAAAAAGGAAAAAAACAUCAUAGGACGCAAAUCUUACUUCUAUCUUAUGAGAGUAGAGAAAUUAUUUUUUUCAAUUUACAUUUAAAUUCUAAAAAUAAAAUUUUUUAUUUAAUAUAUCUAAAAGAGAAUGCCAUACUUUUUUAAAAUUGAAAUUCUAUUUAAUGAAAUGAUUAUAAUCACACAUACUUUACUUUAAACCUCAAAAUUCAAUGUUUUUUAUUUAUUUCCUAAAUUUUAUGUUCAGUCCAACACCACUUUAUAAAAUUAUAAUAAAAGGAGUAGGUAUUUAUUUUUUCCAUUUGAUCAAGCCUCGAUAGACAUGUUAAGUCGAUAUUUGUGCUGAUGAGAGAUACAUAAAAUUUGUUUAAAUACACGAGAACUAAUCCGAACACGAAAUUUUUAUGGGAAAAAAAAAAAGUGCCCUCUGUUAGGAAAGAUCAAGGUAGAAUAAAAAGAAAAACAUCAUAGGUUAGUCGAUAUAAUAGAGGUGAAAAAAAUUAAAAAGGAAAAAAAAUACUCCAACCCCACACCCCUACUCCACUCCUACCCCACCCACCCACCAAACAAACUAUUCUUGUUCUACUAUUAUACACUUUUUUUUGCAGCCACCUUAGUUUUUCUACUAUUCCAAUAUACACUUUCUUCCAUAAAAGCCUCGUACUUUUUCAUUCUGCCUUUUUUUUUUCGGAUCAUCAUAUCAUAAGCCUUUUCUUAUUGUACGGAGAUUUCAAUCUUCUUUCUGUGUUUUUUUUCAGAGCAUAUUAGAUCUCAUAUAAAUCUAUUUCUGCAAUUAAAUAAAUAUAUACUGACAAGGAGGGAGUGUACAUGACAUGGUACUGCCUCUCUCCACGUGAAUAACCAACCCCUUUUUCCAAGUUCUUCAUCUGGGGUGUUUGUGUUUUUGCUAAAAUCAUAGUAUUAUUUUGUGAUCUUUCUUAAGUUUGUCUGGUAAAAUCUUGAUCUGGGGUUGUUGUGUUUUUGCUAAAAUAAUAUAUUAUUUUGUGAUCUUAAAAAAGCUUUUUUGGUAAAAUUUUGAUUUGGGGUGGUUGUGUUUUUGCUAAAAGUUGCAUUAUUUUCUGAUCUUUCUAAAGUAUUUUCAUAAAAUCUUGAUCUGGGGUUGUUGUGUUUUUGCUGAAAAUUUAAUAUUUUGUGAUCUUGCUGAAGUUUUUUCGUAAAAUCUUGAUCUGGGGUUUUGUUGUUUUUGCUAAUAUAAUAAUAUUAUUUUCUGAUCUUUAUAAUAUAAAGUUUAAAUUUUUAGUCUAUACCCCACCUGAAUUUUCGGUUUGCCAGCUCAAAAUUUUUCUUGAAUUAUGAUUUCAACAGUGAAACAAUCAGCUUUUACAAUCAAUGGCUGUGAUUUCAUCAGGUCAAAGUCUCAAUCUUUGACUUUUUCUCAUCGUUUUUCGUUACUUCCGCCAUUACCGGCGGCAAUGAAGUCCCGCCGGAGCUCCGGCGUAUCAGUUACCAAGCCUAUUUAUGUUUCAUCUGUUGAAAACUUUGGGGGGCUAAAGAAAGAGAGAUCUAAUGAUAAUUUGGUUAAGGUUAAGGCUUAUGAAGCGGAUCGGAUCGACCCGAUUGAGGGACCCGAUUCGAAAACUGAGGUGGCAAGGAGGUUGAAGAUUGGUGUUUAUUUUGCUACAUGGUGGUUUUUGAAUGUGAUUUUUAAUAUAUAUAAUAAGAAAGUGUUGAAUGCUUUUCCAUACCCUUGGUUAACAUCAACUUUGUCACUUGCUGCUGGUUCACUUAUUAUGUUGAUGUCUUGGACUCUUAGAAUUGCUGAAACUCCGAAAACCGAUCUUGAAUUCUGGAAAACUCUCUUACCGGUAAGGAAAAUUGAGUUUUGUGGAUACUCAAUUGGUUAAAGGCAGCAGCUUUUUGAUUGUUUUGUUGUUUUGAUGAUGUCUGUGGUUAUAGUUUUGGUGUUUUAUGCCUUGGUUGUUUAGGUUGUUUGUGGUCUGUUUUGUGUGAUGUUUGGUUCGCUCUGGAAUUUUCAUUGAAUUAAUGGGGAUCUAGUUCAUGGUUGUUGUAAUAGUGAAAUUUUUACUUGCCAUAGAUCUUGGCUUUGAAGGAGAGCCGUGGUGUAACUCGUAAGUGGUAAUGUUGCCUCCAUGUGAUCAGGAGGUCACGAGUUCAAGCCGUGGAAGUAGCCUCUUGCAGAAAUGCAGGGCGCGCUUGUGUACCAGACCCUUGAGAUCUGGUUGUUCCUCGGGACCCAUGCUUAGCUGGAGCUUUAGUGCACCGAGCUGCUCUGAUAGAUCUUGGUAUUGGUUUUUGGCUUAAUCAAGAAUUUAGCCCCGCCUUUAGGGGUAAUUCAUUACCAACCCAGUACCUAAAUUUGAUGUUGAUUUGUUUGGAUUUAACUUUGAAAGUAAUAUUUUCUGGGUUUGCUGACAGAGAACACAAAACAACAAAAGGCAUUGGUUUUGAAGUACAGAACAAUUGUUUUAUGAAAACGAAGUUUUGUGUUUUUGUGAAUGAAAACCACAAGAGACCUUCAUGUUAAGUGAUUUCUUUUCUACUUUGUUUUGGUGGUCUGAGUUAUUAGAUGCAUAUACUAGGGUGAGAUAGCAAGUAGACGUGCACACAAACUAGCUUAGAUACUAUCAUUAUCUGGAAAAAGUUUUGUUUUUUUGUGGAUGAAAACCACAAGAGAAAUGCUAAGUGAUUUCUUUUCUCCUUUGUUUUUUCUGGUCAGAGGUAUUUGAUACAUGUACUAAUGUGAGAUAGCAUGUGGACGUGCACCCGGACUAGGUUAGAUACUAUAAUUAUCUGAAAAAGUCUUGUUUCGGUGGUCUAGAGUUAUUUGACGCAUGUACUAGUAUGAGAUAACACGUAGACGUGCAGACAAACUAGCUUGGAUACUAUCAUUAUCUGAAAAAAGUUGUCUUUUAAGCGGAACAGUCUUAAUCGCUCCUUGUUUUGUUCCUGUUUUGUAUUAUAGGUUGCCGUUGCACAUACAAUUGGGCAUGUGGCAGCUACGGUGAGCAUGUCAAAAGUGGCAGUUUCAUUCACUCACAUCAUCAAGAGUGGUGAACCUGCUUUUAGCGUUUUGGUUUCUAGGUUCCUCUUGGGAGAGACAUUUCCUACAGCCGUUUACUUAUCUCUUAUCCCCAUCAUCGGUGGUUGUGGUCUUUCUGCUCUUACAGAGUUGAACUUCAACUGGAUUGGUAAUUAAUUAACUUUUACUUAUUGUUAAGACUUGAUAUCCCCAUCAUUUGUAUUGAUAUUCUUGCCUGUCGCGUGGUAAAACAUUUUUUAACGUCAUCAUACUUGUAUACACAGAAUUUUCUGGAAAUUUGAUGGCAAAUGUUUUGUAGCAUAAGAGAAAUAAUUUAUACUCUAGCUUUAACGGCUGUAAUAAGACACUGUAUUUGGUAUGAUAUAUUCUUCUUAAAAAAAAUUCCAUGAAAGGAAAACAUCUUUUGGAAAUGAAAUAUCGGAAUUCGACUUAUCAUAGAAAGCAUUUUUAGAAAAUGACUUUCGUCAUGCUAAAUACACCAUAUGAUGGCAUUUUCCGAGGGCAAUUCUGACUUCUCAAGUUUGAUAAUACUCCGAUUAAUGGAAGGAUAUUGUGUGAUGCAAUCCGGGCUGACCUGUUUUUUGUUUAAUCAGGUGGCAAUGGUGUUGGCAUUUUAUGAUGUCUUUGACCAUUAAGAUUGUUUUGAGUGUUGAAGACAACAUUUGCUUAUGAAAUUUGUUUGCUGAUGAUUUUUAUCUGUUUUUGUUGGUUUGUCCACGUUAGGUUUUGCUGGGGCUAUGAUCUCGAACGUGGCAUUUGUCUUCAGAAAUAUAUUCUCCAAGAGGGGUAUGAAGGGAAAAUCUGUUAGUGGGAUGAACUACUAUGCUUGCUUGUCUAUGUUGUCUUUGUUGCUUCUCACACCAUUUGCCAUUGCUGUUGAGGGACCACAAAUGUGGGCUCUAGGAUUUGAAAAGGCUGUCUCUCAAAUUGGUCCCCAAAUCGUCUGGUAAUCACAUGACUGUCAUCUUAUCUGUUUUUACAUUCCGUGUCAUUUGCAUUUUGCCAUUAAUUGCUCUGGUUAAAUAAUACUCCCUCCGUUCCACUUUAUAUGACAAGGUUCAAAGUACGAGGGUCAAAGUAUUCAAUUCCUCAAGCUUUUGGAAAUAAAAAUUUUACAUGUUUGGAAGCUAAAUAUACUAAUUCAAAAUAUUUAACUCCACAGAUACGAAUGGUGUCACAUAAAAUGAACAGAGAGAGUACUACAUUUGACCGCGGUAAUUUUAAUCAUGUUAGAGAUUUAUAUGUCAAUUGAAAAUGUAGAGAACUUUUAGUGCUAGAGAAACUAGGUUUAUCAAUAUUAUGGACCAUGCUUAAAUAGAGGGACAUGGUCUUGCUUGAGAUUGAGACAUUUUUGUUAUUGUUAUUGAUUUUAGUAACUUGUUGUGUGAGAGCAGUAUAUAUUUUACUUCAUGUGAAUUUUACUACUAUUAGAACAAUUUAACACUAGCUUAGCUUAUCCCCUUUUCAGUCUGUAUCAAAUCUCCAUCACUUAUUUGCCAAUACCUUUUAGCUUAACUUUAGCAGCUACUUUUUCCCAGUUCGCGCACAACCAGAGUAGGCGCACAGUCGGUGUGCCUGCUCCAUCCUCCUUUGACAAAAGAGAACUGGAGAUCAGUUUAUAUCUUACUUCAUCUGAAUUUUACCCUUCUUAGAACAAUUUAACGCUACUUAUGUAUAGAACAACUGAUGUGAGCAAGUGAAUUGGUAUCAAGAAUGGUGGAUUCCCUUUUAAUCCAUUAGUUUGAGCUGCGUCAGAAGGUGACGAGGAAGGAUUUUGGGAAAAUAGUUGCAUCUCAUACUUUACACGCACUGUGAAAGUAGAAAGUCCAUGAACCUCUCAGAGUUAAUUUUGUUUAAUCCAAUCAACUCACGAGAGAUCCUAUACUUUCUAGUUUAUACCAUUAAAUUUAGCUUUGGCGUUGACUGGCAUUUAAUGUGAUGAAUGUUGGUUUGUUGAUAACAGGUGGAUGGCGGCCCAGAGUGUAUUUUAUCACCUCUACAAUCAGGUUUCUUACAUGUCCCUGGAUGAGAUCUCUCCCUUGACGUUUAGUAUUGGAAACACUAUGAAACGUAUUUCUGUAAUAGUCUCCUCCAUCAUUAUCUUCCGUACACCCGUCCAGCCAAUCAACGCUCUUGGAGCUGCCAUUGCAAUUCUUGGAACUUUCUUGUACUCACAGGUGAUUAUUUCAUUUUUCGUGUUUCUGUAUCAGAUGUGAUUGAUUGUGCUUCCUUGAUAUAUUCUAAAUAUAGCUUUUUCUACUUAAUGGCAAGCAAACUAAUAUUCUCCGUAACUAUUGUCAUUAUAAACGCGGUAUGAGAGAGAGCUAUUUUCCCUUACCUGCGCAAUAACCUUCACUCGGAUGUUUUAGUUCCUCUUUGUAUGUGUUUGUGUGCGCCUUAUCUUCUUUCGUUUGGGUUAGCACAUCAUAAUUGUACUAUUUGUUGUUCGAAAACUUAGAGAACAUCUCUCUCUCUCAUGGAAGGCAAAUCAUUUAGUGCUAAAAUGAAUAGAGGUAUAAAUGAUUCAUAUGUUCCCCAAGUGAUUCGAUCAUGUCAUUGCACCAAUGCUAGCUAGUUCAAGUUAUAAAAGCACCCUUCACCUCGAACCUUGAGUUUUGAAGGAGCAACAUUAAUCCUUGGGGAGAGGUAGGGCGGUGGUAAUGUAAGAGACGUAAGUUACCAUAUCAAAAUAUUCUCCAUGCCAAGUGCGAUAGAAAUUAUCGUUGAAAUAUUGAAUGGAAAUGAGUUCAUAUGGAGAGGAUAAUUCAUAUAGCCGACUCCAACUAGCUUGGGUGUUGAGCUCGAGGUGUUCUUUUGUUCGCAAUAGAAACCAAGUUACUGCAUUUUCAUGUAGGACCAAUCCUUCGAAACGAUCUAUUUCUUGAAAUAUUGAAAGGAAAUGAGUUCAUAUGGAGAGGAUAAUUCAUAUAGCUAACUCCAACUAGCUUGGGUGUUGAGCUCGAGGUGUUCUUUUGUUCGCUAUAGAAACCAAGGUACUGCAUUUUCAUGUAGCACCAAUCUUUCAAAACGAUUUAUCUUCUUAAAUGCUCGCGAUUUGUUGGUUGUUCAUUGAGAGUAACUUAAACUUGAUUCUUAAGUUCAUUUUCUUUGUGGCCUUCCACUAAGGAACUCUUUGAAUGUAAUGCAGGCAAAACAAUGAAGAGUGGAACUUGCAUACCGCGGUAGGGAUAAAGACGUUGAAGAGAACCUUGAGGUCAAUGUCUCUUAGGAUCCUCAGUCUACCCUUGCUUUGAGUUGAACAUGGAACUUAUUUGAGUAUUUUGUAGAUAGCAAUAAUGAGUUGAAGUUAACUCAAAUCCUAUAGAGUUUUAACUCAAAUCCUAUAGAGUUAUCGAGGCCUGGUUUCCUUGUUUUGUUAUUAUUCAUAGAGACAUCAACAAGUGUACUAAUAAGAGUACUUCUUGGGUUGAGAAUGUCAUAAAUUAGUUCAUUGAAGCGCAUUCCAGAUUUUGGCUCAAACAAAAAGCAGUUCAAGGCCUCUCUACCAUUCUAUGUUUGGCAUUGAUCGCGCCGGAAGGCCAAUUGAAGUAAAAUUUGGCUAAUGAACUUAAUACUGAAAAUGUAUCAAAUGGAUCUUGUGUAUAAAACAAAGAACAAACUGAAAAUGCAAGGUUGGGUUGCGUACAAUACACCUUUAUGGUAGGGCAUGAAACUUUCUGGUGGAAACACAACUGAUAGAAAUCAAGUGACAAAACUGGCAUACAUGGAUGGACAUGAUCUUUCUGGUGGAAACACAACUGAUAGAAAUCAAGUGACAAAACUGGCAUACAUGGAUGGAUCUCUAAACAAUCAAAAGAAUAGUAUCGCAUUGUGAACCAGCAGCUCUAGCAACUUCACUUUCGACGAAUCUUCAUACAACUUGGGAGAAUUUGUAUUGCCAUGAAACACCUUCAAGUACAAAGAACCAUUUGGGCCAAGUAUUACCAACGUUUCUAUCAAACCUUCAAAUAUUUAAUAGCAGUUUGAACAUCUUUAUCUCCUCUACCACUGCAGUUGAGCACAACCUUACUUCCAUUCGGUAAAGAUGGACAUAGCUUCUCCAAGUAGGCCAGAGCGUGAGAUGUUUCCAGAGCGGGGAUGAUGCCUUCUAACCGAGAUAACCUUUUAAAGGCUGCAAAAAACAGGUUUGUAAGAUAUAGCAAACUAGAAAAUAACAAUUUCAAAGGGGAGCAAAAUCAUAUAUGAAGCUUAGGAACAAAGAAUAAGUGGUGUCAUUUAUCACCUUCCAAAGCCUCCUCAUCCGUGAUGCUAUGAUACUCUGCUCUCCCCAGAUCUUUCAAAAAGCUGUGUUCUGGCCCAACUCCAGGGUAAUCCAAUCUAAUAAUCCGUUGGGAAAAAAAGACCAGUUGGAACUUGGAAGGUGUAAAGAUAUGAUUUUGGCGAAUAUACUAAUUUUGGUAGCGUCAAGUGUAAAUGAGCACUUUGAUAACAAGCAAAGUCCAAGUUAUUACCCGGCACUGAUUGAAUGAGGCUCAACUAUCUGUCCGUCUUCAUCCUGCAGAAGAUAGCUCAUAGCUCCAUGCAGUACUCCUACCUCUCCCUUUGUCAAAGUGGCAGCAUGUUUACCGCUAUCUAGACCAAAACCGGCUGCUUCCACCCCUAUCAACCUCACAUCUUUGUCAUCAACAAACUCAUGAAACAGUCCCAUAGCAUUUGAACCUCCACCAACACAUGCAACAAGCACGUCUGGCUUCCCACCCCACUUUUCCAAAGCUUGCUUCCUUGUUUCUUUACCAAUUACCGCAUGGAACUCCCUAACCAUCAUGGGGUAAGGGUGUGGUCCUGCAACUGAUCCAAGUAUGUAAUGAGUUGUUUCAACAUUUGUAACCCAAUCCCUUAUGGCUUCUGAAGUAGCAUCCUUGAGUGUAGCAGUUCCAGAGUGUACUACUCUAACCUGCAAUGUUAGUUUGGGGAAAUGUAAUUAAAUAUAUUGAUGCAAAUGCAAUAGAAAGAUUACUCUUCCAAAUGUAAGAUAAGAUCAUGUAAUUAUCCCAGGAAGAAGAGGGGAAAAGGAAGAAGCUUAACCAUCUACAGGGAUGUAUAACAGAAUUAAGGCAAUUGUUCAGCUAACCACGGUCCACAAGCCCUAAAUAGAAUUCUAAAUUGUCCUUAGAUCAAAAUAAAGGCAAGGUAACUAAACAAAAGAAAAGAUCAAUACGAAGCAGUGUAGGAAAUGCAAAACAAGAAAUUUCCAGGCAAAUUCUCACUUACUAUGCAAUUGUUUGACUGAUAUUUGAAUAUUAAUAAGAUUACCUCUUCCAUCUGUAUGCAUCUUAUCCUACUCUCUAAGUUCAUGGAUAUAAUUAAUCCCAUUUACCAAAAUUUUGCUUACCUAUGGAGCACACUUACUAAUGACUCCUGCAAUUGAAAAUUUAUGAAUGCAAAAAAUACAUAGUACAUUUACAGGGAAAUUCAUCUUGAACAUAGAGAAGAACCACGGGAUUUUAUUAAACAAGCUAGUGUCAUUGCAGAUAACCAAGUCAGUUAAUAUAAGGUGCAGAGAUUUCAGUGAAACCACAAAGUUCAUAAGCGAAUUCUUCGAAUCAAUUUUCAAAAUCUCUCCUCAAUUAAGCUAUGAACAGAGAGGUCAAUUUAUAAUGUAUGAUACGGACCUCAGCUCCAAGCAGUCGCAUUCUGAAGACAUUCAAUGCUUGCCUCUCCAUAUCUUGAGCACCCAUAUAAAUAACACACUCCAAACCAAAGCGAGCACAAACAGUUGCAGUGGCAACACCAUGCUGACCGGCUCCUGUCUCGGCAAUAAUGCGUUUUUUGCCCAAGCGCUUGGCAAGCAAAGCUUGGGCAACAGCAUUAUUGAUUUUGUGGGCACCCGUGUGGUUUAGAUCUUCUCUCUUCAGGUAGAUCAGUGGCCCUCCAUCUGGACGUUUAUAAUGCUCAGUAAGUCGCUUCGCAAAAUAAAGAGGACUCUCUCUACCAACAUAAUCUCUCAAUAUCCCAUCUAGUUCCUUCUGCAGUCAGCAAUCAGCAUAAAUGGUGUACAAACAAGUUAGAAGUUUUACAAGGGUCAACAAGUCUGGAGUCAAGCUUCUGAAUCAUCUACAUUCCCUUCUAUCUAUUCAAGUCCAUUUCAUUCAAAGACUAAAUAAUUUAACGUAUAAAGAAAUUACUUGCAGUUCUCUAAAUUCCAAAGUAACUGAAAAAAAGAAAAAGGGGGUUAAGAGAAUUUCUUGAUCAAGAGGGGGUUAUGAACAUAAAGCUCAUACGUCGUAACUACAACCCCUCAUAUCAGAAGAAAAACUUCAAUUGUGCUAAAUUCCCAACAAAAUUGUAGCUCCUGCAGUUUCCAAAAGAAACUAUGAAGGAAGAUAUCUACGAUUUAUUUUAAAUACAUCCACACAUGUACACAAAGAUAUUUUGCAGUUUAAACUUACGUUCAACUAUUUCAACAUGUUAACGAAGUCAACUAGUUUCACCAUUUCAUGAUUGAAUAACAAAAAGAAAAGAUCCUUUUUUGUUAGUUUGAAAGGGAGCCUCAGCAUAACUAGUAAAGUUGUGUCGCGUGAUCAGGAGGUUCGAGUUGUGGAACCAUUGCAAGGUAAGACUGCAUACAAUAGGCCCUUAUGGUCUGGCCAUUUCCCAGAGGCCGUGCUAUCAGGGAUGGCAAUGGUGUGGUGCGGUGCGGUGCGGGUUUUUUCUAAACCCGCAAGUUUUAAAACCGCACCGCACUGCAUCACCUUUAAACCCGCAUAAACCCGCCCCACAUUCAUACCUGCGCAUAACCGCACCGCACCGCCCCAUGUUUUUAUUUUUUCCUUUUUUUUUGAAAAAUUUGUAACUCCAUUGAAAAUCAUAAUAUUUUCAAAUCUACAACUAGGAAAUAAUAACUGAUUUCUAUUAUAUCACUUUUCCCUAAAAAAUUGUCAAAAAGUAUAACGUGUACAAGUAAUGAUCAAAUAUCAUAUUUUUAUUAAAAUGAAUAGAGAUGUUAAAAAGGCUACUAUAAAAUUAUUUAUUUGUAGUGUUAUACAUGUCGUUUUAAGUAUCAUAAAACUUUAAGUAAAGAAUACAUAUAAUUUUAGAUAUAUUCACGAGAACAAUACUAAUUUUUAGCUUUUUUUAAUUUAAAUCCGCAUAUACCUGCAACCCGCACCGCAUCACACCAUUUAAAAAAAACUUACUUUAACCCGCCAUGCACCUACACCGGCCUGCAUAACUUAAAACCCGCACCACACCACACCAUUGCCAUUCUUGAUCCGAAGAGAUAACAUAUUGCUAAUUUUAACAUUAAAUUUCUAUUUGUAUCUUUUUCUUCAUCUUGUUCUUCUUCUAUUGUUGUCGUACUACCAAAUUCAUCUUUUAUAGCUGUUUCAUAUUUUUUUAAUAAUUCUAUAGGUGUUAGUUUAGUUGUUGUUGAUGAUGUUCCUUCUAUAGGUUUAUUAGUUCUUAAUACUUUUUUGCUAUUUUCGGUUAGAUUUGCAAACCAUAGUUUUACUGAUCCUAUUAGUGUUUUUUCUAUAUAUUCCGGUGCAUCUGUUAUAUUUAUAUUAUUAUCUAAUAAUUGUUUUGUCAUAUAUCCUAUCCAUAAUUGUAU
rnacentral:lncRNA from 1 species